CAUUCGUUCUCUAUCAAGUGGCUGUGAGCUUCAAUCAUUCAAGUCAGUGACGUCCUGCGAUAAACAUUACGAUGAAGAAAAGAUAUUUAUAUUAGCAUUUUUAGAAAUUCACAGCACACUAAUACACAUGAGAAACAUUUAGGUACUCUUGUAGCGUAAUCCUUAUCCACCCAAGCCAAUCACCACAUAUGCCUCAUGUUAUGAAUUUCCUUAUGUUGAUAAGAUGACACCUUCUCAUGUGGCAAUUGGGUGGCGGAUGAGAAUAUUGUCUUUCAAGAGCACCUACAAAUAUAUCUUGAUAUACUCGUUUUAAAGAAAGAAAGUACUCACUGCAUCCAGGGCUGUGGGGUGGGUCAGGCGUUUUCGGGGAACCUACAACAACCAUCAUUUGCUUAGUUUUACUUAGACUCAUCCACAAACCCGUUAUGCUACCAGAAGUACCAGUUGCCAAAUCGCCCUUUAUGAUUCAAUAUUUCGAAAAAGCGAAACAUACCUCAAAUGGCAACAAUUCAAAUAUCUCGAUUACUGAACUGAACUCACAUAUACAUUGCUCACCGCAUAAAUUAUAUAUAUAUAUAUAUAUAUAUAUAUAUAUAUAUAUUAAAAAAAGGCUUAGAAGUUAGAAGAAAUAACUAGAGAGGAAGACUGACCCGAGCACUUGCUAGGAGCCGAGUGCGAGAGCAAGGGAAGGGUCAUGAAAAUCAAGAGGUAGCACAAAAUUCUGAUAAGAGAGGAGGAGGAUGAGGACGAGGAGGGAGGAGAAAGCAGUUUUGCCAUUGCUUUGAGUUAUUUCAAGCGCCUUAUUAUUUUUUCAUUUCUAUCUAUAUAUAAGCACGACAAGAUCACUAGUCAUAACAUCGUAUGAACACCACCAACAACCACUGUUCUCAAUUAAUUGUGACGCAACACCCGUGACUCUGGCCUCUGGCUUUUGAACGGGUCAACCCCUGAAUGCGUGAGAGAGUGGCUUAAUGAGUGAAUCCCCCCAAGUCCUCUCACAUCAAUGUCGUCCCGUUCAAACUCGUGCGCCACCCUUUUUCGACCAAAUGUAAAAACUCGGGCCCCUUUCUCCAACCACUUCCAAAAUAUUGAUUACACGUAUCGCGAAAAAAAGUCAGAGAUCUAGUGGUAUCGAAAACGAACCGCCCAUCUCCCCCAAUUUGCUGGCUUGUCCAAUUUCGACCCACUAUCGGCCGUCGUCUCUGUUGCCGCCUUCGAUUCCAUCGUAUAUGCUGAUGCCGUGGUUUCUACCAUCAUCUUCAUUGCCUUUGCUGUAUCUAUCCUUCUGCAUCCCUCGUACUUCACCCCGAUGCCACGGAACCCCAAUCUGACCAUGACGCAAGCAUAUGCAAUUUUUUACGAUAUCGACCCACGCCCGUGUUGGUUUCUUUAGUAAUGAAGCCUAUUGUAACUUACAAUAUUUGGAUAAGCUCUCCUGUUCACCUUGACUAGGGCCUCACUCGUUCAUUAAGUUCGUUCAUGUGAAAUCGUGACUGCUUCCAUUUUCUUCUCACUUGCCCUUCUCUUUUGUUAAAUUCCAAACAUCUAAGGCUUCGCGCGUGGUCAAUUUGGUGAAGAAGUAUUGGCACUGAUUUGCGCAAUUAGUGUUAAUUUAUAGAAGGGAUUAUAGUAAACACGUUAGUGGCUAGCCAUGUGUUUCAGCGCGCAGAUGAAUAUGGCUAAGACCUAUAAACGCAAAAACACGUACCCGGCAAAAACCUAGUGCUUUGCCAAUUGGUCCUUAUUGCUUUUAAGCGACUCAAGUUUAUAGGUUUUAUGAAAGUCAAUUUUCCAUAUCCCACUACAAGAGAAAACUACCAUAUAUAUUUUUCAUUUUUUUCAUGAAAAAAAGAAGGAAUUUCAUCCAAUUUUUGAAAAUGUGAUUGGAAUUCAUCCUCCAUUUCCUAUAAAAAUAAGUUUGAUGAAUAUCAUUUGAUGAGAUCUAAUGGAAGAAUGUGUAAAAUCUUCAUUUACUGGAAUGACUUAUCAAUUAGAUCCCGUUUCAAAUUAGUUGCUCGCCAUUCAUACUCAUAUCUUGACCAAUACCGAAUCACCAAUUCUAUCGAAUUUUCCUUUUUCAAUGCUACUAAAGAUUUGAAGUUUAUCUAGUCAAUAGUGCAUAUGAAUUUUAUUUUACUCUUAGAUAUUUCUCCUUUCUUUUUUUAAUUCACUAGUGAUUUAGGAACUUACCAAGUAAUAGAGAGAAACAGAUACAAAGCUGAAAAUUCACAAGUGUGCAUGCUAAGUCAAAUUCUAAUUUCAACAAUAAAUUAUGACAUUUUACCUUUUAUUUCUGAAUAAGCUUAGAAGUAAGAAGAAAUACUAGAGAGGAAGGCCGACCACCGCAUAUGGGGCGACGCCAGGAGCCUCGAUUUGACUAAGAAUAACUACCGAACUGAAUUCAUACAUAGUAAACAACAAAAAAUUGCACCACUCAUGUUCGACUCCACAUCUAUGACUUUACGUAUAUCAAAGGGAAUAAGCUUAGAAGUAAGAAGAAAUACUAGAGAGGAAGACUGACCCCGCACGGGCCAGGACGUAAGGGCGUGAGCAAGUGAAGUGUCAUGAAAAUCAAGAGGAAGCACAAAAUUCUGAUAAGAGAGGAGGAGGCGGGAGAAGAAAGCAGUUUUGCCAUUGCUUUUGAGUUCUUUCAAGCGCUUUCCUUUUUUAUUUUUUAUUUUUUAUUUAUUUCCAUGUAUUUAUAUAUAAGCCCCACAAGAAUCAUUAGUCAUAACAUUAGAUGAACAACAACAACAUCAUACUUAAUUACUUGGGACGCAGCACCCGUGACUCUGGCCCCUGGCUUUUGAACAGGUCAACCAGUAAAUGCGUAAGAGACGUGCUUAAUGAGUGAAUCUCCCCAAAUCCUUUCACAUCAAUUUCAUCCCGUUCAAAGUAGAUGAUUCGCUAUCACGUGUCUCUGAUCAUUGCGAAGACCAUUCGUUCUUUAUCAAGUGGCUGUGAGCUUCAAUUAUUCAAAUCAGCGACGUCCUGCGAUAAACAUUACGAUAAAGAAAAGAUAUUUAUAUUAGCAUUUUCAGAAAUUCACAGCACACUAAUACACAUGAGAAACAUUUAGGUACUCUUGUAGCGUAAUCCUUAUCCACCCAAGCCAAUCACCACAUAUGCCUCAUAUUAUGAAUUUCCUAAUGUUGGUAAGAUGACACCUUCGCAUGUGGCAAUUGGGUGGCGGACGAGAAUAUUGUCUUUCAAGAGCACCUACAAAUAUAUCUUGACAUACUC
rnacentral:lncRNA from 1 species